CAUAAAACGAGUAACUUCCCACACGACCAAUAGCACAUUCCAGUGUCCACAACUCUAGAACAUUACAAGAUUACAAUCACACGCGAAGACCGUUUUCACACGAACUACUAGACCGGCCAAACCAAAUUACAACGGCAGCGAAACAGAAACUAACCACGACACAGAAACACCUCGAAAAUUUGUCGCCCUCACGGGCGCCGUUAUGAAGCCGAAGGGAGCCAAGCCAAACGCUGAUAAUGGUUGUCUGUAACGCAGUGAGGGCCUCAGUUAGAGCAAGGUUUUUGUUAAAGUGUACUCACCAGUCAACGCAAUUAAGAAAGAAAAAUAGUUCUUUAUUCUAUGACUAGGACGCAACCAACCCACUCGGACGCUCGGCAGGGUGAGCGCAACUCCGGCCAUGUGUGAUUGGAUCGUAGCCUCGGUCGGAUAUCCACAGUGGAUUAGCGCGCUUGAUGUGCUUCUGUACUCCAAGCCUCGAAGGAUGCUCGGGGGAGUGCCGUGAUACUGUGAAAACGCGCAAAUUGGUGAGAGCGUGGAGGCGGUCUUUACAAUUGGUCGCCGCAGCUUCAGGGGACACAGAUCCCGCCCAUUACUCUUGACGUGUGUGCCGUCGCUGUUGCGCGCCGACUAGGUGCGUGCAGCACAAUGCCGCGCAGCUGUGUUGUCCCGACGUGCGAGUCGAGCUUCAGGAAGGACCGCAACCUCGGCUACCACGAGUUUCCGUGCGACGCGGAACGCCGGCAAGUGUGGCUGCGAAACAUUUUCGGGGAGGGACCCGGCGGGAAAACCACGAAGUGGGUGCCGAGCGACAAAUCGCUGGUGUGCUCCCUGCAUUUCACGGAGCAAGACUACAGGGCGACCAACAAGCUCAGGCUGCUGCUGCCGACCGCUGUGCCAACUGUGUUCCCCGCUCAUCCAAGCUGCACCACGACCCCCUCUGUAGAGGAGGAGGUCGUGAGCUGCACGAGCAAGAAAGCUGUCGUCAGAGGCACUCGUGCUCGAAAGAAGCGGCCGCGACCAAAGGGAACGGAGAACGUUAAGCGCGCUCGUGGAGCAGGCAAGCGGAUAGCCAGUCAAAACGACACAAUGCUUGACCGUCACGAAGGCGCCAUAACGCCUCGUCAAUCUGAACCAGUGGUUGAAAACUGCGACGAAAGUCCGUCCGUUAAGGAUGAGACCAGCCCAACGCGCCGCCUUCAAGCAACGAUCGCCCUUCUUAGAGGGGAGCUACAAACGCUGCAGUGUAAACUCGAUGAAGCCGAAGAGCGAGCUCACUUUUAUGAAAAUAACAAUGACAUUGACUGUUUUAUGAGGGUGCUCGACGCUGCUGCUCAUGGUGACGAGACUGCCGUGUCUAUUAUGAACCAAGUCUACAGCUUCCAUGGAGAGGCCGAAUUCGCUAUUUUGGGAGGGCCUGUAAGCAUGCAAGAGCCGAGCCCCCUCAAUGGUACAGACAUGUUGGCCACUGUGGGAGUGAAGUUGGAGUCACUUCACUGAUGAAAGACGGCACUGACAAACGAAAGUCUGCGUGAUUAAUUUCAGGAUCUUGGUGCAUAACAAGACCUUCAUCCACCACAUUAUCAAUGGGCUGGCCACAAACACGACAACCUUUUUGACCCUGUUGACUGGUUUUUAGAAUCACUCCACAGUCCCCCCAAGUCAUUUGCCAUGUUUUGUUGCGAGAGGCUUCUAAAUGCCUUCCUAUGUCGGACAUUUUUUUACUAUAUGCUUGAAAAGCAAUGAACUUUUUUCCUUGACAAUGGAAGUGCUGAAAGCGGCUGAGAAGGUGGGCCUUUGUGUUGCGAGUAUCAUGAACAAUGCCCCUCAAAACCAGCAUUGCAUUUUUCAAAUGUGAGAUGGCAUGCGGUGCUGCACCCCUUGCAGGUUGGCGACUCUGUCUCUUUAUCAUGCUCUACACAAACACUUGGAUCAACUUUCUAGAAAGAAAGCUGAUGGAUGGUCAUGAAGUCAUUUGAGAAUGUGUGUGCCACAAUAAAUUGACAGUAAUAUAAACUUCUUGCAUGUCAAACUGGCAAGAUUACUGUUGUGUUCUUAUGAGAAGCCAAACGACUUCAAGAAAGAUUGGCAAGGACAACCUGUGUUUCUUCAUCCAUCGUGAUUGGGACACCCAAGUAUCUUCAAGAAAACCGCCACUACCAUCCAGGCACGGAGAAGAAUUUCAGGAGUGCUUGGCCAUAUUGCCUUCGUGCAUACGUGUCCGAAGCGGCAUGUUCUUCAUGCUAUUCAUAGUUGAGCUUCGCAGCCGACACAUGAGAUCACAGAGACAGCAAUAGGAGCCUUUAAUAACAACAGGCGAUGAUUGAUUUUCGUGGAAGAAAGCACACCUCGUCUUCUUAAAAGGACUUCAGCAUUCUGGCUGCAGAUCGAGUGACCACCUCAAUUGAAGCAUACAAGGCUGCACUCCCGACUACUAAUUCACAGUGGCAUUGAUAAAGUACCUUCUUUAGCAUGUCAAGUACAGGGCAAGGAUCAGCUGCAGCUCCACAGCCAAAUGACAGACUGUACAGAUAAAUAAUGACAUCAGCAGUGGUCACGUGAACCACCUAAGGACCAAAGUUAUUUGAAAUUGUAACUUGAUGUGCACGUUUGUGCUCGAAGUAACAAAGUGUCCAGAAGGAACAAGUAGGAAAGUGUAUGGCGUUUUUCUUAGCAUUUCGGUCACACCUAUGCAAUGCUGGGAACUGACAUGUGGAGCAAAAGAUAACCACAGUGUAGAAGUUUAUGAAGUUUCUUCAAGCUCUUGUUGGAACUGCUGCUGGAAAACUGGACACAAAGUGUAAAUUUGUGAGUAGAUGUGGCUUGUAUGGCUAGCCCAGAAGCUAGCAUCGAGCAAAGUUCGGUCCUUGUGAUUCUGAUGAUAGUCUUCACGGGGAAUAUUUUUUGCCAUAACUGGGCAAUAAAAUAUAUGCAACUUGUA